rnacentral:rRNA from 1 species
UUGAACGCUGGCGGCAGGCCUAACACAUGCAAGUCGAACGGUAACAGGAAGAAGCUUGCUUCUUUGCUGACGAGUGGCGGACGGGUGAGUAAUGUCUGGGAAACUGCCUGAUGGAGGGGGAUAACUACUGGAAACGGUAGCUAAUACCGCAUAACGUCGCAAGACCAAAGCGGGGGACCUUCGGGCCUCUUGCCAUCGGAUGUGCCCAGAUGGGAUUAGCUAGUAGGUGGGGUAACGGCUCACCUAGGCGACGAUCCCUAGCUGGUCUGAGAGGAUGACCAGCCACACUGGAACUGAGACACGGUCCAGACUCCUACGGGAGGCAGCAGUGGGGAAUAUUGCACAAUGGGCGCAAGCCUGAUGCAGCCAUGCCGCGUGUAUGAAGAAGGCCUUCGGGUUGUAAAGUACUUUCAGCGGGGAGGAAGGGAGUAAAGUUAAUACCUUUGCUCAUUGACGUUACCCGCAGAAGAAGCACCGGCUAACUCCGUG